rnacentral:tRNA from 1 species
GCGGACAUAGCUCAGUUGGGAGAGCGUCAGACUGAAGUCAACUUCAAUCACCUAAUCUGAAGGUCGUGUGUUCAAUCCACACUGGCCGCA